GCGUCGCCGGCCUCCUCGCGUCCCCUCCGGCUUUACGCCGUUUGNUCUCUGGCUCACGCCUUGGGGCCGGCUUCNGUCGUGUCCACGCCUCCCCACUGCACGUCGACACCGGUCCCGGACACGCCGCUUGCUGCUUCGCUGACCGACGUGGCGGACCGGGUGACGUACACUGUCUGGGACACACCUGGCCUGACUGGACGNGGGGACUACACCUACCUGGACACACCGGGUACGCUACACUACCCGCACUACACCGUUCGCACACGACCCAACACGACGGGGGACCCCUUCGGGGCCCCUCCUUUGGCCCCACUCCGGACUGUGCCCAACUGGGACUUCUUGUGGGGUCGGCUCCCUGUCUUUGUUUGU
rnacentral:rRNA from 1 species